AGAAAUCUUUGCGCGUUAGUCGACAAACUUCCGGCGCGGUGGAGGCAUUCGGGCAUGCAGCAAAGUUAUUUGUAAAACGGUUAAUUUGGACUGCAAAGAGGCGAAUAUGAUAUAUAAAAUGAUUUAUUUAAAGAAGAAAACUUGCAACAAGGGAAGGUCUCCAGGUGAUAUUCGCCGAAUUUAAUGAAACAUAAAAAAGUAUUCAAAUAAAAUGACAUAUUUAUUUACUGCAAGUAUAUAAUGUUUAUCAUGGAAAUUCAAUGUUCAUAUUUAUUAAUUUUAAUUUAGAAGUUUCCCAACAUACACAUCUCAUUGUUGAAACGUGAGAAUCUUACAUAGUAAUUAUUGGUUAGAAGUAAUAAAUUAUGACUAUAUCUAAAAUUAUUUUAUAUUUGAUCAAUAUUAACUGUUAAUUUGAACACGCGUUUAAAUGGUGGAAAAUAAACCAGUUUCAAU